UGAACGCUGGCGGUAGGCCUAACACAUGCAAGUCGAACGGCAGCACAGUAAGAGCUUGCUCUUACGGGUGGCGAGUGGCGGACGGGUGAGGAAUACAUCGGAAUCUACUUUUUCGUGGGGGAUAACGUAGGGAAACUUACGCUAAUACCGCAUACGGCCUACGGGUGAAAGCAGGGGAUCUUCGGACCUUGCGCGAUUGAAUGAGCCGAUGUCGGAUUAGCUAGUUGGCGGGGUAAAGGCCCACCAAGGCGACGAUCCGUAGCUGGUCUGAGAGGAUGAUCAGCCACACUGGAACUGAGACACGGUCCAGACUCCUACGGGAGGCAGCAGUGGGGAAUAUUGGACAAUGGGCGCAAGCCUGAUCCAGCCAUACCGCGUGGGUGAAGAAGGCCUUCGGGUUGUAAAGCCCUUUUGUUGGGAAAGAAAAGCAGCAGGUUAAUACCCCGCUGUUCUGACGGUACCCAAAGAAUAAGCACCGGCUAACUUCGUG
rnacentral:rRNA from 1 species